GAUGAACGCUGACAGAAUGCUUAACACAUGCAGGUCGACUUGAAUUUGGGUUUUUAACUUAGGUUUGGGUGGCGGACGGGUGAGUAACGCGUAAAGAACUUGCCUCACAGCUAGGGACAACAUUUGGAAACGAAUGCUAAUACCUAAUAUUAUGAUAAUAGGGCCUCCUAUAAUUAUGAAAAAUAUAAGAGCUGUGAGAGAGCUUUGCGUCCCAUUAGCUAGUUGGAGAGUUAACGGCUCACCAAGGCGAUGAUGGGUAGCCGGCCUGAGAGGGUGAUCGGCCACAAGGGGACUGAGACACGGCCCUAACUCCUCCGGGAGGCAGCAGUGGGGAAUAUUGGACAAUGGACCGAGAGUCUGAUCCAGCAAUUCUGUGUGCACGAUGAAGUUUUUCGGAAUGUAAAGUGCGUUCAGUUGGGAAGAAACAAGUGACGGUACCAACAGAAGAAGUGACGGCUAAAUACGUG
rnacentral:rRNA from 1 species